UUCGCAAUGCCCGAAAGGGUGACGAAGCGACGCCGCGUGAGUGAGGAAGGCCUUCGGGUUGUAAGCUCUGUCAGGAGUUAAGAAAUGUAAGUGUGUUAAUACCACAUUUAUUUGACGAAAGCUCCAAAGGAAGCCACGGCUAACUCUGUGCCAGCAGCCGCGGUAAUACAGAGGUGGCAAGCGUUGUUCGGAAUUAUUGGGCGUAAAGAGCACGUAGGUGGGUUUGUAAGUCAGAUGUGAAAGCCUUCUGUUCAACAGAAGAAUUGCAUCUGAAACUGCGAGUCUUGAGUGUAGGAGGGGAGAAUGGAACUUCUGGUGGAGCGGUGAAAUGCGUAGAUAUCAGAAGGAACGCCGGCGGCGAAAGCGAUUCUCUGGCCUAUUACUGACACUCAGUGUGCGAAAGCUAGGGGAGCAAACGGGAUUAGAUACCCCGGUAGUCCUAGCCGUAAACGAUGGGCACUAAGUAGAGGGGUUUU
rnacentral:rRNA from 1 species